rnacentral:rRNA from 1 species
AUUGAACGCUGGCGGCAUGCCUUACACAUGCAAGUCGAACGGUAACAGGUCUUCGGAUGCUGACGAGUGGCGAACGGGUGAGUAAUACAUCGGAACGUGCCUAGUAGUGGGGGAUAACUACUCGAAAGAGUGGCUAAUACCGUAUGAGAUCUACGGAUGAAAGCAGGGGAUCGCAAGACCUUGUGCUACUAGAGCGGCCGAUGGCAGAUUAGGUAGUUGGUGGGAUAAAAGCUUACCAAGCCGACGAUCUGUAGCUGGUCUGAGAGGACGAUCAGCCACACUGGGACUGAGACACGGCCCAGACUCCUACGGGAGGCAGCAGUGGGGAAUUUUGGACAAUGGGCGCAAGCCUGAUCCAGCAAUGCCGCGUGCAGGAUGAAGGCCUUCGGGUUGUAAACUGCUUUUGUACGGAACGAAAAGCCCCGGGUUAAUACCCUGGGGUCAUGAUGGUACCGUAAGAAUAAGCACCGGCUAACUACGUGCCAGCCGCCGCCGUAA